UACAGAGGUCUCAAGCGUUGUUCGGAUUCAUUGGGCGUAAAGGGUGCGUAGGCGGCGCGGUAAGUCGGGUGUGAAAUCUGGGAGCUUAACUCCGAAACUGCAUUCGAUACUGCCGUGCUUGAGGACUGGAGAGGAGACUGGAAUUUACGGUGUAGCGGUGAAAUGCGUAGAUAUCGUAAGGAAGACCAGUGGCGAAGGCGGGUCUCUGGACAGUUCCUGACGCUGAGGCACGAAGGCCAGGGGAGCAAACGGG
rnacentral:rRNA from 1 species